rnacentral:rRNA from 1 species
CAUCCUCCAAGGCUAAAUACUCCUGACUGACCGAUAGUGAACCAGUACCGUGAGGGAAAGGCGAAAAGAACCCCGGCGAGGGGAGUGAAAAAGAACCUGAAACCGUGUACGUACAAGCAGUGGGAGCACCCUUUGGGGUGUGACUGCGUACCUUUUGUAUAAUGGGUCAGCGACUUAUAUUCUGUAGCAAGGUUAACCGAAUAGGGGAGCCGGAGGGAAACCGAGUCUUAACCGGGCGUUAAGUUGCAGGGUAUAGACCCGAAACCCGGUGAUCUAGCCAUGGGCAGGUUGAAGGUUGGGUAACACUAACUGGAGGACCGAACCGACUAAUGUUGAAAAAUUAGCGGAUGACCUGUGGCUGGGGGUGAAAGGCCAAUCAAACCGGGAGAUAGCUGGUUCUCCCCGAAAGCUAUUUAGGUAGCGCCUCGUGAAUUCAUCUCCGGGGGUAGAGCACUGUUUCGGCUAGGGGGCCAUCCCGGCUUACCAACCCGAUGCAAACUGCGAAUACCGGAGAAUGUUAUCACGGGAGACACACGGCGGGUGCUAACGUCCGUCGUGAAGAGGGAAACAACCCAGACCGCCAGCUAAGGUCCCAAAGUCAUGGUUAAGUGGGAAACGAUGUGGGAAGGCCCAGACAGCCAGGAUGUUGGCUUAGAAGCAGCCAUCAUUUAAAGAAAGCGUAAUAGCUCACUGGUCGAGUCGGCCUGCGCGGAAGAUGUAACGGGGCUAAACCAU